UUUUCAUCGUCAUCUCCAAUUUUCCUCUAAAUUUUUAUACCCACUCAACAGCAGAAACCGCCUAUUGAAAUCGGUAUUUCCCAUCAAUUUAAUAACUUCUCAUCUCCAAUUUCAUGUCUCAUCUCUAUAUCAACACAAAUCUUUCAACAAUUAUUACUUCCCACAAAAUCUUUCAAAAAUAAAAUGCAGUAAUUUUUUUUACAAUUUAUCCGUAUCUAAAUACCUCUGCACACAUUCUCAUAACUUCUCCCAACUUCUCCAUUCAACCGUCUGCAUUCAGAUCAUACAUCUUCCUGUUCUUCGAAAAUAUUUCGCAAUUCAUCUCAAAAUCCCUCUCGGCUCGCAUUUUCAGUCACAUUAGGCAAGAAACUUAAGGUUUUGUUUCGAUGAAAAUCGCCAAUUGGGUAAUUCACGAGUAUGCCGAUGGAUUAAUUCAUGAUCUCCAUGACAAUUUGACGUCUCAUAAUGCACCCAUGCUGUCAACGCCGCCGCCGCGCCGGAGCUUAAUGAAGACAUGACGCUUGAUGAAGACCUGAUAGUGUAUCAUCUAUUCUAAGAUUAAAGGUUUGCUAUGCUUAUUAACAAUAACUUUAGGUUGCUCCACUAGAAGAAGAUGAAGCAAAUGUUGGCUCAAUUGCGUUCUUAAGGUAUUGUGGCUUCAUGUUUGUGCCAAUACUUUGGUCAGAUGGAGAUGAAAUGACAAGGUAUUUCUUUAUAAAUGCAUUUCAU